UACGGAAGGCAGCAGUGGGGAAUAUUGCACAAUGGGCGAAAGCCUGAUGCAGCUAUGCCGCGUGUAUGAAGAAGGCCUUAGGGUUGUAAAGUACUUUCAUCGGGGAGGAAAACAAAACUAAUAAUUUUAUUUCUUGACGUUACCCGAAAAAGAAGCACCGGCUAACUCCGCGCCAGCAGCCGCGGUAAUACGGAGGGUGCUAGCGUUAAUCAGAAUUACUGGGCGUAAAGAGCACGUAGGUGGUUUUUUUAAGUCAGAUGUGAAAUCCCUGGGCUUAACCUAGGAACUGCAUUUUGAAACUGAAAUACUAGAGUAUCGUAGAGGGAGGUAGAAUUCUAGGUGUAGCGGUGAAAUGCGUAGAUAUCUGGAGGAAUACCUGUGGCGAAAGCGGCCUCCUAAACGAAUACUGACACUGAGGUGCGAAAGCGUGGGGA
rnacentral:rRNA from 1 species